rnacentral:rRNA from 1 species
UACGUAGGGUGCGAGCGUUGCCCGGAAUUAUUGGGCGUAAAGGGCUCGUAGGCGGUUUGUCGCGUCGGGAGUGAAAACAUCCAGCUUAACUGGGUGCUUGCUUUCGAUACGGGCAGACUUGAGGUAUGCAGGGGAGAAUGGAAUUCCUGGUGUAGCGGUGAAAUGCGCAGAUAUCAGGAGGAACACCGGUGGCGAAGGCGGUUCUCUGGGCAUUACCUGACGCUGAGGAGCGAAAGUGUGGGGAGCGAACAGG